AUAUCAAUAAGCGGAGGAAAAGAAACCAACAGGGAUUGCCCUAGUAACGGCGAGUGAAGCGGCAACAGCUCAAAUUUGAAAUCUGGCUCUUUCAGAGUCCGAGUUGUAAUUUGCAGAGGGCGCUUUGGCUUUGGCAGCGGUCCAAGUUCCUUGGAACAGGACGUCACAGAGGGUGAGAAUCCCGUACGUGGUCGCUAGCUAUUGCCGUGUAAAGCCCCUUCGACGAGUCGAGUUGUUUGGGAAUGCAGCUCUAAAUGGGAGGUAAAUUUCUUCUAAAGCUAAAUAUUGGCCAGAGACCGAUAGCGCACAAGUAGAGUGAUCGAAAGAUGAAAAGCACUUUGGAAAGAGAGUCAAACAGCACGUGAAAUUGUUGAAAGGGAAGCGCUUGCAGCCAGACUUGCUUGCAGUUGCUCAUCCGGGCUUUUGCCCGGUGCACUCUUCUGCAGGCAGGCCAGCAUCAGUUUGGGCGGUGGGAUAAAGGUCUCUGUCAUGUACCUCUCUUCGGGGAGGCCUUAUAGGGGAGGCGACAUACCACCAGCCUAGACUGAGGUCCGCGCAUCUGCUAGGAUGCUGGCGUAAUGGCUGUAAGCGGC
rnacentral:rRNA from 1 species